rnacentral:misc_RNA from 1 species
GAUGAAGAACGCAGCGAAAUGCGAUAAGUAGUGUGAAUUGCAGAAUUCAGUGAAUCAUCGAAUCUUUGAACGCACAUUGCGCCCCUUGGUAUUCCAUGGGGCAUGCCUGUUCGAGCGUCAUUUGUACCUUCAAGCUCUGCUUGGUGUUGGGUGUUUGUCUCGCCUCUGCGUGUAGACUCGCCUCAAAACAAUUGGCAGCCGGCGUAUUGAUUUCAGAGCGCAGUACAUCUCGCGCUUUGCACUCAUAACGACGACGUCCAAAAGUACAUUUUUACACUCUUGACCUCGGAUCAGGUAGGGAUACCCGCUGAACUUAAGCAUAUCAAUAAGCGGAGGA